GACGAACGCUGGCGGCGUGCUUAACACAUGCAAGUCGAACGGAAAGGCCCUGCUUUUGUGGGGUGCUCGAGUGGCGAACGGGUGAGUAACACGUGAGUAACCUGCCCUUGACUUUGGGAUAACUUCAGGAAACUGGGGCUAAUACCGGAUAGGAGCUCCUGCUGCAUGGUGGGGGUUGGAAAGUUUCGGCGGUUGGGGAUGGACUCGCGGCUUAUCAGCCUGUUGGUGGGGUAGUGGCUUACCAAGGCUUUGACGGGUAGCCGGCCUGAGAGGGUGACCGGCCACAUUGGGACUGAGAUGCGGCCCAGACUCCUACGGGAGGCAGCAGUGGGGAAUAUUGCACAAUGGGCGGAAGCCUGAUGCAGCAACGCCGCGUGCGUGAUGACGGCCUUCGGGUUGUAAACCGCUUUCGCCUGUGACGAAGCGUGAGUGACGGUAAUGGGUAAAGAAGCACCGGCUAACUACGUG
rnacentral:rRNA from 1 species